GAUGAACGCUGGCGGCGUGCUUAACACAUGCAAGUCGAACGGUGAAGGCGGAGCUUGCUCUGCUGGAUCAGUGGCGAACGGGUGAGUAACACGUGAGCAAUCUGCCCCUGACUCUGGGAUAAGCGCUGGAAACGGCGUCUAAUACUGGAUACGAGCUGCGAAGGCAUCUUCAGCAGCUGGAAAGAAUUUCGGUCAGGGAUGAGCUCGCGGCCUAUCAGCUUGUUGGUGAGGUAAUGGCUCACCAAGGCGUCGACGGGUAGCCGGCCUGAGAGGGCGACCGGCCACACUGGGACUGAGACACGGCCCAGACUCCUACGGGAGGCAGCAGUGGGGAAUAUUGCACAAUGGGCGAAAGCCUGAUGCAGCAACGCCGCGUGAGGGACGACGGCCUUCGGGUUGUAAACCUCUUUUAGCAGGGAAGAAGCGAAAGUGACGGUACCUGCAGAAAAAGCGCCGGCUAACUACGUG
rnacentral:rRNA from 1 species